UGGGGAAUAUUGGACAAUGGGCGAAAGCCUGAUCCAGCCAUGCCGCGUGUGUGAAGAAGGCCUUUUGGUUGUAAAGCACUUUAAGCGAGGAGGAGGCUACUAGUACUAAUACUACUGGAUAGUGGACGUUACUCGCAGAAUAAGCACCGGCUAACUCUGUGCCAGCAGCCGCGGUAAUACAGAGGGUGCGAGCGUUAAUCGGAUUUACUGGGCGUAAAGCGUGCGUAGGCGGCUGAUUAAGUCGGAUGUGGAAUCCCUGAGCUUAACUUAGGAAUUGCAUUCGAUACUGGUCAGCUAGAGUAUGGGAGAGGAUGGUAGAAUUCCAGGUGUAGCGGUGAAAUGCGUAGAGAUCUGGAGGAAUACCGAUGGCGAAGGCAGCCAUCUGGCCUAAUACUGACGCUGAGGUACGAAAGCAUGGGGAGCAAACAGG
rnacentral:rRNA from 1 species